rnacentral:lncRNA from 1 species
UUUUGGUACAAUAGUUUCAUGUUCAAUUUCAUCAGUUGAUGUAGCUGAUUCUUUGUCUGGUGCUGAUUUCGCACGUGAGCUCUUUUCUUCAGAGCCAGUCAGAAUUUUUGUAGCUGAAGCAGAUGUAGUUGUUUGAGGAAUUUCUAAAGUCAUUGGCGAGUUUGGAUGAUCCUUUUCCCAGUAAUCAUCAUGGAUUACAGGUGUGGUG